GCACAAGCGGAGGAACAUGUGGUUAAUUCGAUGAUACGCGAGGAACCUUACCUGGCUUAAAUGUAGAAUGCAUUUUUAGAGAUAGAAAUUCCUUCGGGGCUUUCUGCAAGGUGCUGCAUGGUUGUCGUCAGCUCGUGCCGUGAGGUGUCGGGUUAAGUCCCAUAACGAGCGCAACCCUUAUCGUUAGUUGCCAGCUGGUAAAGCAGGGGACUCUAGCGAAACUGCCACCGUAAGGUGAGAGGAAGGUGGGGAUGACGUCAAAUCAGCACGGCCCUUAUGUCCAGGGCUACACACGUGUUACAAUGGCCGGCACAGAGGGCAGCUACCUGGUGACAGGAUGCUAAUCUCGAAAACCGGCCUCAGUUCGGAUCGAAGUCUGCAACUCGACUUCGUGAAGCUGGAUUCGCUAGUAAUCGCGCAUCAGCCAUGGCGCGGUGAAUACGUUCCCGGGCCUU
rnacentral:rRNA from 1 species